GUAGGUGGCAAGCGUUGUCCGGAAUUAUUGGGCGUAAAGCGCGCGCAGGCGGUCCUUUAAGUCUGAUGUGAAAGCCCACGGGCUCAACCGUGGAGGGUCAUUGGAAACUGGGGGACUUGAGUACAGAAGAGGAAAGCGGAAUUCCAAGUGUAGCGGUGAAAUGCGUAGAGAUUUGGAGGAACACCAGUGGCGAAGGCGGCUUUCUGGUCUGUAACUGACGCUGAGGCGCGAAAGCGUGGGGAGCAAACAGGAUUAGAUACCCUGGUAGUCCACGCCGUAAACGAUGAGUGCUAAGUGUUAGGGGGUUUCCGCCCCUUAGUGCUGCAGCUAACGCAUUAAGCACUCCGCCUGGGGAGUACGGCCGCAUGGCUG
rnacentral:rRNA from 1 species